AUACGUAGGGUGCAAGCGUUGUCCGGAAUUAUUGGGCGUAAAGAGCUCGUAGGCGGUUUGUCGCGUCUGCUGUGAAAACCCGAGGCUCAACCUCGGGCCUGCAGUGGGUACGGGCAGACUAGAGUGCGGUAGGGGAGAAUGGAAUUCCUGGUGUAGCGGUGGAAUGCGCAGAUAUCAGGAGGAACACCGGUGGCGAAGGCGGGUCUCUGGGCAGUAACUGACGCUGAGGAGCGAAAGCGUGGGGAGC
rnacentral:rRNA from 1 species